CUCCGCAACAGUCACUCUUGUGUUAGCAAUACUGUCUCUAAGCUUGCCAUCUCAAAUCUCAGCUGAUACCUACUUGUACUCAUCACCUCCUCCUCCCAAGAAGCCCUAUUAUUAUCACUCUCCUCCACCACCUUCACCUCCUCCACCUAAGCCAUACUACUAUCAUUCACCACCACCACCUUCACCUCCUCCACCCAAGCCAUACUACUAUCACUCACCACCACCACCUUCACCUCCUCCACCUAAACCAUACUACUAUCACUCACCACCACCACCUUCACCUCCUCCACCUAAACCAUACUACUAUCACUCACCACCACCACCUUCACCUCCUCCACCUAAACCAUACUACUAUCACUCACCACCACCACCUUCACCUCCUCCACCUAAGUCAUAUUACUAUCACUCACCACCACCACCACCCAAAAAGAAGCCAUACUACUACCAUUCUCCCCCACCACCUUCACCACCUCCUCCUAAGCCAUACUACUAUCACUCUCCCCCACCGCCUUCACCUCCUCCACCUACGCCAUACUACUAUCAUUCUCCCCCACCACCCUCACCACCUCCACCUAAGCCAUACUACUACCAUUCACCACCACCCCCACCGAAGAAGAAGCCUUACUACUACCACUCUCCACCACCACCUUCACCUCCUCCUCCAAAGAAGCCAUACUACUACCACUCCCCACCUCCUCCCAAGAAGCCCUACAAAUAUUCAUCUCCCCCACCUCCAGUGCACCCUUACCCUCAUCCUCACCCCCAUCCCCAUCCACACCCCCACCCUCACCCUCCCUACGUUUACAAAUCUCCUCCCCCACCCCCUAAGAAGCCAUACAAGUACCCAUCCCCACCACCUCCAGUCCACGUUUACCCUCACCCUCACCCGCAUCCACACCCUCACCCUCAACCUCACCCCCA
rnacentral:lncRNA from 1 species